rnacentral:rRNA from 1 species
AAUUUGACUCAACACGGGAAACCUCACCAGGCCCGGACACUCGAAGGAUUGACAGAUUGAGAGCUCUUUCUUGAUUGGGUGGGUGGUGGUGCAUGGCCGUUCCCAGUUGGUGGAUCGAUUUGUCUGGUUAAUUCCGAUAACGAACGAGACUCUGACCUNCUAACUAGGCGAUACCGGCAUCCUUGGCGCAGCCGGCGACUCUACAUCUUCUUAGAGGGACAGGCAGCUCCUANCUGCACGAGAUUGAGCGAUAACAGGUCUGAGAUGCCCUUAGAUGUUCUGGGCUGCACGCGCGCCACACUGAAGGGACCAGUGUGUGUUUUCCUAGCCCGAGAGGGCCGGGUAACCCGUUGAACCUCCUUCGUGCUAGGGAUUGGGGCUUGCAAUUUUUCCCCACCAACGAGGA